CCUCGAUGAUGAGUUGCCAUGCUAAUACUGAGUCACCAGGUAGGGCAGUGUUGCCCUAGUUUGGGUGCCAGUGAGUUUAACAAAACUUCUCACAUGGAGACCUGAGAGGC
ensembl:snoRNA small nucleolar RNA, C/D box 8